rnacentral:lncRNA from 1 species
UCGUCACUCUGUCCGUUGUAAUUUGAUGACUGGUGGAAGAGUUACACAGGAAGCUGCAAGGUGUAAAAUUACAGGGCAGAUUUUCUGUAACUGUGUUUCAGUCUUUGGGAGUCCUUACAUACUAACAACAGUAAUCUUGAGGUCAGCGAGAUGGCUCAGUGGGUAGAGAUGUUUCUCAGCAGGCCUGAAGGUCUGAGUUCCUUCAAUCCCGGUGGUGAAAAAGGAGAAGCAAUACCCCCAAGUUGUUCUCUGGCCUGCAGUGUGCUCCUACAUAUACACAUACACAUAAACACACACACAGCCUUUUUGUUUUUUUUAAUGCAUUUUUAGGAAGAAUGCCAUGGCGGGGGUUUUCUGUGGAGAGGAUUCUAGUCAAUAAGAAUGAUAGCUCACUUUGGGAGAAGGGAAGGCACUGUAGCUGGAGGGCAGUUAUGGAGAUAGACCCAUCAUUAGUUUGUUUUUAACCUUGUGAAUGCUUUUUUGUGAAACCUGGGCUAAUGUGUGACAGUGAGAUUGAAUCAAUCCCAGAAGUCUUUCGUUCCAAAGUGGUAUGAAAGAGAAGCAAAGAGCUGAGGGAUGUCAGGAUGCGUUUCCAGACCAUGACUGAUCCUGAGCUGCUUCCCCUUGAUCAAGCAACUCUGCAUAGCUGUCAUGUAUGUGUCAUGCAUGACAUACUAGUGCGGUAAACGCCAUAGUGCUGGGGCCGUUUGUUGGCAACUUGCUCUACUUUAGACACUGUGCUUUGUAGCGCCUAGAAAUAGUUGGCCUAUUACAAACAAAGUUUUUUCAUUUUGUUAGUUUAGAAUUUAAGUUUCUUUUUCAUAGUCAUAGUCAUAGUUUAAAAUGUUAGAACUAGCCAGGUAUGCUGACACAUGCCUUUAAUUCCAGUACCUGGGAGGCAGAAGCAGGUAGACCUCUAACUUGGUGGCUAGACUGGUCUUCAUAUCAAGUACCCUGCCUGUC